GUCAACAAGGUCAAACUAUCCUGAAGGCUCCCGAUCAUGUCUGAUCUUGGAAACUAAGUGGGGGUUAGUCCUGGUUGGUACUUGGGUAGUAGACCGUCAACAAAUACCAUGAAUUGUAGGCU
rnacentral:rRNA from 1 species